rnacentral:rRNA from 1 species
AGAGCGAACGCUGGCGGCAGGCCUAACACAUGCAAGUCGAGCGCCGUAGCAAUACGGAGCGGCAGACGGGAGAGUAACACGUGGGAACGUGCCCUUUGGUUCGGAACAACACAGGGAAACUUGUGCUAAUACCGGAUAAGCCCUUACGGGGAAAGAUUUAUCGCCAAAGGAUCGGCCCGCGUCUGAUUAGCUAGUUGGUGAGGUAACGGCUCACCAAGGCGACGAUCAGUAGCUGGUCUGAGAGGAUGAUCAGCCUCACUGGGACUGAGACACGGCCCAGACUCCUACGGGAGGCAGCAGUGGGGAAUAUUGGACAAUGGGCGCAAGCCUGAUCCAGCCAUGCCGCGUGGAUGAUGAAGGCCCUAGGGUUGUAAAGUCCUUUCGGCGGGGAAGAUAAUGACGGUACCGCAGAAGAGCCCGGCUAACUUCGUGCCAGCAGCCGC